UUGCUAUGAGGAACAAAUCAUUGCUCCAGAAACUAGAUCUAAUCUUGUUGCUGACGGAUGCAAUACCUCUAAGAAGUUCUGAGCAA